ACAUCAGCAACUCUCAAUCCAAAUCCGAACGAACCCUACCCGAACCAGCUUCGACCCGUCUCCAUCAACAAACAGCUCCAACACAAGCGAAAUCUGACCUAAACCCGCGAUUACGCACCAUCAAAAAAUCUCGAGUCUUCUAAAACAAGCUAGGUGUCACCCCCAACGGCUCAAUUUCACGAAUCUCGGGAUAAGGGUACGAUUUCGUACAUAUUUGGUGGAUUUCUAUUGGUUCUUGAUGGAACUCAUUUUUCCCAAAUCCUAUUGGUCCACCCAUACCGAAUUAUCCAAGAAAAAACAACAAAUUGGUAUAAUUUGUUGGGGGGUAAUUCAAUUUGAGUUCAAAUUUUGAAUUCCUUUUGGAAAAGAAAUUCCUAAAUUACCCUCAAAUUGGCUUCUAUAUAAAGAGCGCACUGUUGAGCUGGGUUGGGGGGGAUUUUUCGCUGGGGGUUGGAAAUUCUUGGUUUAGAAAUUUUAGUGUGAAAAAAAAUCUUCCUGAGAAAAGUUGAGUUCGACAACUAGGGGAAAAGUUUCGGAAGAAAAGAAACAUAGCAUAUUUUAGUAUAAGCUCUUUGGUCGACGACUGCUCGAAGCUUUUCGGAGUCGAGGCGUUGAACUUUCCAGUGGUGGUGGAGUCUAACGCCAUCUCGUAGCCCUGUUUUGCUGCUCCCGAAUAGGUGGAUCGAGAUUCAAGCCAAAGGCUCAAAAGCUAGAUUAGGACAGGUGAAAUGGGUGGAAGAUCCAAUUAGACUAGGACAGGUCUUAUUGAUUUUUGC